rnacentral:tRNA from 1 species
GGCUGUGUGGUCUAGUGGUAUAAUUAUCGCUUGGGGUGCGAGAGGUCCCGAGUUCAAUUUUCGGCGCAGCCC